rnacentral:sRNA from 1 species
GACCGCUUUACCCGAUGGCCUGAGGUGA